GUCUAUCUAUCAAUCGAUCACAUAUUUAUUUUAACAGAAAGGAUGUACCCUGCAUCACAGACAGGCAUCUGCCUUCGCAUGCAGUGGCAAUAUUUUAAAAAUUAUCGCCUCAUCUGACUGACCCAUCCAUGUUUUUCCUUCUGACCACCACAGGUACACUAUUAAGGCAACAGAGUGGGCACCACACUUCCAGAAUCAAGUUGGUGGAGGACAUUUUCUCACAGCGGGUCUGCAAUCAUACCUUGUCUGGUCCCUCACCAAGGACUUAUUUACCAUAGCCCACCCAGGCAACAAAGCUCCUGGGAUCAUUCAGACACACAAGCCCCUCCACCACGAUCAAGUGACCUCUCAUCGAGGGGGCUUCCAAACGUAUCUCACACAUUGGUCAUGGCAUCCAAACAAAGAGGAACAGUAAUGAUCGCGUAAGGGUCUAUCUGGUUCAACGAAGCGAGUUACAAAGUACGAAACCUUCAGUUCCAUAGCGCUAACUAUGAGCAUCGAAGACCUUGAAGCGUCCCGUGGCUGGGUUCAAAAGUUCGUUGCACGACAUCAGAUGAGAAACGUUGUCUUGUGUGGUGAUUGACGUGAGGUCAAGUUAGAGACAGUGAGUGAGUAGAAAGAAAAGCCACCAGGGUCUUUUACUCGUCUCAUUUUGUAGCAAAUAAUCCUAACUUUGUUAUAUUUUGUAUAUUUUUUAUUUUUUAUAUACCUGUACUGUAUGCUGCAGUUUUGUGUUAUAAACAGUUUUUGGGCAAUAUACCGGUAUUGUUGCACUUUGUUGCUUAUGUUGUCACACAUCUACAGUAUGUUGUGAACAUACUUGGCCGUUCAUACAGGACAUAUACCAUAGUUGAUUCACUGUUCUCAUUUAAGAAGCAUGGUAAUACUUUAAUGCUCUUAAUUCUGUUGAUGUUUGCUGUGGACUGUCAAUAUGUGCAGUUUUUUAUAUGUACCGUAUCUUGUGCUGACCCGGCCCACCUGUCAAAUUUUAGAAAUCAGGCCCCGAGCCAAAACUGUUGCC